rnacentral:rRNA from 1 species
GAUGAACGCUGGCGGCGUGCCUAAUACAUGCAAGUCGAGCGAACAGACGAGGAGCUUGCUCCUCUGACGUUAGCGGCGGACGGGUGAGUAACACGUGGAUAACCUACCUAUAAGACUGGGAUAACUUCGGGAAACCGGAGCUAAUACCGGAUAAUAUAUUGAACCGCAUGGUUCAAUAGUGAAAGACGGUUUUGCUGUCACUUAUAGAUGGAUCCGCGCCGCAUUAGCUAGUUGGUAAGGUAACGGCUUACCAAGGCAACGAUGCGUAGCCGACCUGAGAGGGUGAUCCGCCAAACUGGGACCGGAACACGGGCCAGACUCCUACGGGAGGCAGCAGUAGGGAAUCUUCCGCAAUGGGCGAAAACCUGACGGGGCAACGCCGCGUGAGUGAUGAAGGUCUUCCGAUCGUAAAACUCUUUUAUUAGGGAAGAGCAAAUGUGUAAGUAACUAUGCACGUCUUGACGGUACCUAAUCAGAAAGCCACGGCUAACUACGUG